CGCUGGCGGCGUGCCUAACACAUGCAAGUCGAACGAGGUCCAUCCUUCGGGAGAAGACCUAGUGGCGAACGGGUGAGUAACACGUGAAGAACCUGCCCCGAAGACCGGGAUAACCCUCCGAAAGGAGAGCUAAUACCGGAUACCCCCACCGAACCGCAUGGUUUGGUGAGGAAAUGGAUUCCGCUUCGGGAGGGCUUCGCGGCCUAUCAGCUAGUUGGUGGGGUAACGGCCCACCAAGGCAUCGACGGGUAGCUGGUCUGAGAGGACGAUCAGCCACACUGGGACUGAGACACGGCCCAGACUCCUACGGGAGACAGCAGUGGGGAAUCUUGCGCAAUGGGCGAAAGCCUGACGCAGCAACGCCGCGUGGGGGAUGAAGGCUCUCGGGUUGUAAACCCCUUUCAGCAGGGACGAAUCAAGACGGUACCUGCAGAAGAAGCCCCGGCUAACUACGUG
rnacentral:rRNA from 1 species